rnacentral:rRNA from 1 species
CAAGCAGGCGGUUGUUUAAGUCAAUUAUGAAAGCCCUAGGCUAAACUUGGGGAGGCUAGUUGAUACUGAACGACUAGAGUGAAGAAGAGGGAUGUAGAAUUCCGCGUGUAGUGGUGAAAUGCGUAGAUAUGCGGAGGAAUACCAGAGGCGAAGGCGACAUCCUGGUCUUUAACUGACGCUGAGGUGCGAAAGCAUGGGUAGCGAACG